UUCCCGUCACACUCUCGGUUGGUCAUUCCUCUCCACCAAAUCCCUAGCUCUCUUCCGACGGUGCGUGUGGCCGCCCCCCUCUCACCGGCGUCGCCGCCUCCCUCCAAUGAAGCGCUUCGCCGCCUUCUCUCCCUCUCGCCCGUGUCACCUUUCCCUCUCCCCUGUGUUGCGUGCUCUAAGGCCAAGGAGGCGCGGGAGGAGCGCGGGCAUGGCGGCCUUGUGCGCCUGUACUGGACGCUACCGUCCCCGAUGGGCUCUCUACGCCAAAGCCCCCCUCCAUCUCGACGGCACCCGAGAUCGAGCCCGCACCGGAAUCCCAAUCGCCUACCACGCUCUACGCUCGACGGCAAGACCUACAAGAUGGGAGUAGGGAUGCGUGUUGCAGAGGGAAGAACGAUGGGAUAUGGACAACGAUGCAGCUCCGGAAGAAGCGGCUGCCGCGUCUGCACUGAUUAGCUAUGAGAAGGUGUUGUCGGGUGAGGAGUGCCUGGGCCCGCAGUGCCUCCGGGCAGCGAGGAGUGCUUGGGCCAACACGGUGAGGAAGAGCACCAGCAGUGCCUCUCGGGGCGGGAUGGUGGCCUCCGCCUGGGCGCCUGGCCGAGGAGGAGUGCCGGGGUGCGGCGAGCGGUGCCUGGGCAAGGAGCGGGCAAGGAGGUGGUGAGCACCUAGAGCGGUGAGCAGUGGGCGAGGCGUGAGUUGCGGGGCGAGGCACGAGGUGCUGCCGACGGCGAGGUUCAAUCUCAAACUGAUUUGGGAGUUGGAC